UACAGAGGGUGCGAGCGUUGUUCGGAAUUACUGGGCGUAAAGGGUCCGUAGGCGGUGCGGUAAGUCGGGAGUGAAAUCUCUGGGCUUAACUCAGAGGCUGCUUCCGAAACUACCGUGCUAGAGUGCGAGAGAGGCAAGUGGAAUUGCGGGUGUAGCGGUGAAAUGCGUAGAUAUCCGCAGGAACAUCCGAGGCGAAAGCGGCUUGCUGGAUCGCAACUGACGCUGAGGGACGAAAGCUAGGGGAGCAAACAGG
rnacentral:rRNA from 1 species